CUUUUUCAAUCUUUGGAACCUUGCUCCCCUGGUUGAUCAGCCCAUUCUUCUCCUACAGGGUCCCACCUUCAUUCUGGAGGGACAUUGACUCUUUCAACAUCGAAGUGGAUGGUAGAUUUGGAGGGCAAAUCCCUGGGUUUGAGUCUUUCUUUUCUCUCUUCUCUCUUCUCUCUUCUCUCUUCUCUCUUCUCUCUUCUCUCUUCUCUCUUCUCUCUUCUCUCUUCUCUCUUCUCUCUUCUCUCUUCUCUCUUCUCUCUUCUCUCUUCUCUCUUCUCUCUUCUCUCUUCUCUCUUCUCUUCUCUUCUCUUCUCUUCUCUUCUCUUCUCUUCUCUUCUCUUCUCUUCUCUUCUCUUCUCUUCUCUUCUCGCUUCCUUCCUUGCUUCCUUCCUUGCUUCCUUCCUUGCUUCCUUCCUUGCUUCCUUCCUUGCUUCCUUCCUUGCUUCCUUCCUUCCUUCCUUUUUCUCUCUCUUUCUUUCUUUCUUUCUUUCUUUCUUUCUUUCUUUCUUUCUUUCUUUCUUUCUUUCUUUCUUUCUUUCUUUCUUUCUUUCUUUCUUUCUUUCUUUCUUUCUUUCUUUCUUUCUUUCUUUCUUUCUUUCUUUCUUUCUUUCUUUCUUUCUUUCUUUCUUUCUUUCUUUCCUCUUCUUUUCUCCCUCCCUUCUUCCUUCCCUCCCCCUGUCUCUCUUCUCUCUCUUUGUCUCUGUCUUCUCUCUCUGUCUCUAUCUCUCCCUUUCUCUCUUCCCCUCCUCCUCCUUUUCUUUCCCUUACCUUCUGUCUUAGCAUUAAUACUGUCUAUUGGUUUCAAGGCAGAAGAAUGGUGAUGACUAGGCAAAGGGGGUUAAAUGGCUCCCCAAAGAUCACACAGCUAAGAAGUAUCAAAAUUCAGAUUUGAAUCCGGGACCUCCCAAAUUUGAGCUGGGCUCUCAAUCCACUGAGCUGCCUAGCUGCACCAGGUCAUUUAUUUCUAAUUGGGCACAGGAAGAGUCAGGAAAGGAGGAGGCAGAACUUCAUCCUGAAGGAUGAAGCCUUCAACAAGAAGAGAUCUGAAGGGGAGCAUUCUACACCUAUGGAAGGGUAAAAACAAGUAGUCAAAAUCUGAUAUGGGUUCUGUCCCCCUGGAGGACAAUAGUCAAUGACAGUCAUCUCUCCUCUCCCCUUACCUCAGGCGUUCCUCCUUUUCCUUCAGACAAACAGAAUAGCUGAG
rnacentral:lncRNA from 1 species